rnacentral:lncRNA from 1 species
AUAAAUAUUUCAAAGAAAAUCUAUAACUCACAUUUUUUUAUAAAACUAUUUAAUAUAAAGACUUUUAGAAGGUUUUUUUUGUCCUUAAUAUAAAAAAAAAAAGAUAGUUUUUAAUGUGUAAAUAUUAUUUAAAUGUCAUUUUUACUCUUAAUAAUUAUGUUUUCCAUGUUAUAGGGAUAUGAAUAGUUCUCUGAAAAGUGGAGAGAUGAUAGGCUCAGAAAGUGGAGAUGAGAUGUUUUUAAAGAGGCACAUACAUUCAUACUAUCUAAAGAAAGACAACAUAAAAGGAAAAAAUUAGAGGAUGAUUGAGUAGAAGAAAAGCUAUACAUCUGCUAGGUUGUUCAUAAUAUGGAUUUGACUACAAACUAAUUUCAUUUUUUUUUUAUUUUUAUGAAUGUUUUUGGUUAUCCGACAUUUAAAAACCGGUUAUUAAUCAAUAUAUGUAACACAUUAAAUAUUUGUUUUACAUCAACUUCUAUUUAAAAACAACCUAAAAAACAAUAUCUAAAACCAAUACUAAAUAUGUUUAGACUAUGAACAAGUGCUAACCCCAUUUGUUAGCAUUUUCAAUACUAAAUAUGUUUCCAAUUGGAAUAACUUUUACUUUUUAAAUUUUUUCAAAUAUUUUGUUCAAAUUUAUUCAAAUGGUCAAGCGAAAUGAGAUUUUAAAUAAAUUCAAUAGAUAAAUGAUAAUACACAAGGGUUGUGUGAGCUUCCAUUGCCUAUAGAAAAAUCGAAAGCGAUUUCUAUAAUGUGAAUGUGUGCCUACGAUAAACCAUCAUGAUUUCUACAACUAAAUGAAAAUAUUUUCCAUGUAACCCAAGUAAUUACUUUUUUUUUUUUUUUUUUUGAAACUAUUCUUUAUUCCUUAAUAAGAGAGACUUUUUAUAAGAUUUUCCUGUUUGUGAUAUAAAAAAAGUCAUGCUUUUAAUAUGUAAAUAUUAUUUAAAUGUCUUUAUUAGUCUUAAUUAUUAUUAUCUGUCCCAUGCAAUCAUGAUAUGAAUAGUCACUACUAGAAAAACUGGAUUUAGCGUUGACCAAAAGCCUAAUAAUAUUUUUCUAUAAUCUUUAAUUUAUUCAAACAAUAAUACUCUCAGUGUUGUGUGACCUUUCAUUACCAUAUAGAAAAUUAAAGACAAUUUCUAUAACGUGAAUUAGUGCAUAAGACCCGUCUGCCUCUUAAUUGUGUGUAGUUAACCAUCAUCUCAUAAAUAUUUCAAAGAAAAUCUAUAACUCACAUUUUUUUAUAAAACUAUUUAAUAUAAAGACUUUUAGAAAGUUUUUUUUGUUCUUAAUAUAAAGAAAAUAGUUUUUAAUGUGUAAAUAUUAUUUAAAUGUCAUUUUUACUCUUAAUUAUAACUGUGUAAAACUUUUAUAAAAAAAAAAUACUUUUGCCUAAACAAUGCCAAAACCUUUCAUCUUCUCAAUUAAUCUUCUUUUACCCAAACAAUUAAGCUCAACCUUUAACUUUCUUCAUUAUCUUUUUUUUUUCUUCGAAUUCUUGUGUGACCUUUCAUUACCAUAUAGAAAAUUAAAGACAAUUUCUAUAACGUGAAUUAGUGCAUAAGACCCGUCUGCCUCUUAAUUGUGUUUAGUUAACCAUCAUCUCAUAAAUAUUUCAAUGAAAAUCUAUAACUCACAUUUUUUUUAAAAACUAUUUAAUAUAAAGACUUUUAGAAGGUUUUUUUUGUCCUUAAUAUAAAAAAAAGGAUAGUUUUUAAUGUGUAAAUAUUAUUUAAAUGUCAUUUUUACUCUUAAUAAUUAUGUUUUCCAUGUUAUGGGGAUAUGAAGAGUUCUCUGAAAAGUGGAGAGAUGAUAGGCUCAGAAAGUGGAGAUGAGAUGCUUUUAAAGAGGCACAUACAUCCAUACUAUCUAAAGAAAGACAACAUAAAAGGAAAAAA